CCUACGGGGGGCGGCAGUGAGGAAUAUUGGUCAAUGGGCGCAAGCCUGAACCAGCCAUCCCGCGUGCAGGAUGACAGCCCUAUGGGUUGUAAACUGCUUUUCUGAGGGAAGAAUAAGAUCGAUUUGUUCGGUCGACGACGGUACCUCAGGAAUAAGCAUCGGCUAACUCCGUGCCAGCAGCCGCGGUAAUACGGAGGAUGCAAGCGUUAUCCGGAUUUAUUGGGUUUAAAGGGUGCGUAGGCGGACUGGUAAGUCAGUGGUGAAAUCUUUCGGCUCAACCGGGAAAUUGCCAUUGAAACUGUCAGUCUUGAGUCAGGUUGAGGUAGGCGGAACGUGUAAUGUAGCGGUGAAAUGCUUAGAUAUUACACAGAACACCGAUUGCGUAGGCAGCUUACUGGACCUGCACUGACGCUGAGGCACGAAAG
rnacentral:rRNA from 1 species